GGUAGCGUGGCCGAGGGGUCUAAAGCGCUGGAUUUAGGCUCCAGUCUCUUCGGGGGCGUGGGUUCGAAUCCCACCGCUGCCA
rfam:Danio rerio chromosome 4, GRCz11 reference primary assembly.